GUAAAACCAGCAUAUGGUUUUGAAGUUAGAGAAAUCUAUAAAGUAAGUGUUUUCUUUUAUUUGGAAAUUUAUUAAUAAUUAAUUGGUUUCUAGAGUUAUAAAGUAAUUUAAUUAAAUUAGAAAAAGAAAAUAAAGAAAUGAAGUGUUAAGAAUGCUACCACUCCCUACAAAAUGCUAAGAUAAGAUGUUAAAUGGAGAAAAAAUGAGAUGGUAUUGAGAUGGCAAGGUGCUAAUAGUGUUACCACUCAUUUUAGCCUUAUAGACGUGAAUUGCAAUGAUCUCAUAUGACUCAACUUUGAGUGUUUUGAGGGGAAAGAAUGGAUUUGGAUGGAAGGUCAGGGGACAUUCUUAGAUUCCAUGAUGAAUUCUAAUAGAGAGAAAGAUAGGGUUCUUGCAAGAGGCUGAAAAACAAGGACCAAGUGGUGGCGAAGUUGGAUGAGACUAUUUGCUACAAAGAGAAGACCAUGGCCUUGAGCAUUGGCGGUGUUAGGGAACUUUGUUUUAUAGAGAGGGUAGGUUAGAAUUUUAUUCGGCAAAUGAAGCAGAGCCCGAAAAACAAGGUAAAUAUUUUAUAGGUUAUAACCAUCGAUCAAUGAAAAUAUAAUAUUUAUUGAUUUAUAAAGAUAUGUGUUUUGAGUAUCUGUUUGAUUGACGUUUUGUAUUUAUAAAUAUUUUAUAAAAUUCUACUUUUGUACGGUAUAAUAUAAAUUUUAAUAAAGUAAAAAAAAACAGAAUAAAUACAAAAAAUAAAUUCAAUGAAAAAAAAUCCUAUUGAUGAUAUAUUUUCAAAAUGAAGCGAUCCUUUAAUACAUCUAGUUUACUUAUUAGAAUCAAUUUUGGUAGGGAAAAACUCAUAAAAACCCUAUGUAUUAUACUCCAAUGAUUAAAAAAAACCCUUAUUUACUUUUUUUUUUUUUUUUUACAAAUUAACCAUUAUUUUUUCUAACCUUUGUUGUUUUCAUGCUUUGUAACUGGUUACCCUAAGCAACCGGUAACAUAGCUGACAUGGCUUUAAAAAGUGUAAAUGUAGUGAAUAACCAAAGAUAUGGACUUCAACGAACAAGACGAACCCAGGCCGACAUUUCAUUCGGUGCCCUAGUUUUCUGGAUCCUUCAAAAGAUUGUAAGCAUUUUUUAUGGAUGGGUGUUGAAUAGUUAACAGGUAUAAGCAUAAAAUCAAUGAGUUGCAAAAGGAGAAUAUAUAUUUGUACAAGGAUAAUAUGAUCCUGUCCAAGAAGACUAUGCAAUUGGAGAAUGAGAACCGGCCCUGCAAAAGAAAGUAAUCAAGCUAGAGGUGAUUGACAAAACAAAGGGGACUGAUAAAUUGAUGUUGUUUGCUGUAGUUCUCGUUGGAAUCUUCAUUUGGUUUAUAAUAGAUAUGUAAUAUGGGAAGUUAGGUUGUUAUUGUUCUGGUUACAACUUGUUAGUGUAAAAAGUUAGGAUGCUCUUUUGUAAUGUGUCCUUGUUAUGAAACUUUGGUCAUGUUUAUGUAAAAUUGUAGUUUGUGUUU